UGUAAAAGUGCNGUACGAUUGCCGCGCUUAGCGCGUCACUCUCAGACGUUACAGGAAGUAACCAACGGGAGGGGGUCGGAGGAGGAGAAAGAGUAGUAAGAUGGCGGCGCCCUUGCAAAAUCUGGGGAGGUUUUUGCGGAUAACAGGGAACACGUCUCUGUCACUGUCACGUUCUGCAUUUGUUGCAAGGAAGAAUGAUUCAAACAAUCCUAACUGGAUCAAUGUUGGCCUGGCUUUUGGUUGCACUGUAGCUAUAUGGGCACUGCUCAUCAAGCAGCAUAAUAAUGAUAUAGCAGAACAUGAAAAGUGGAAAGCAGAACGUGGGAACUGAAAAGCAGAACAAUGGUCACAACCUGUGAUGUACCUUCACGUCAGAUGUCAUAUGGAGGUGUUCCUGGAUCUUCUGGAGACAACAUCAUGUACUAUUUGCUUGUACUUGGUGCUAGUACUGUAGCAGGCUUUUAUGCCUACAGAACAGUUAAGUCGGACCAUACCCGGUACCUUGAACGUCUAGAAGACAUUGAAAAAAACCGUUCCACUGAAGAAUGGAAGUCUAAGCCAUGGCCUCCAUCAUCUUCAAAUGAUGAUGAAAUAGAAGCAACAGAAGUUACUGAAACAUGUGAAGAAGCAAAGGAUAUUAUUAAAGAAGAGACUGAAGCAGUAACUGCUGAUGAAUCCCAAACUGAAGCAGUAAUUGCUGAGGAACCCCAAGUGCAGAAGAANGAAAUGCCUACUGAAACUACAAAGGCCCCGGAGGACAACGAAUCAGCAGUUGGGGAAAAGUCAUCUAGUGUGUCAGAAGAAGAGCAGGAUGCAACUGACAUCUUAGAUGAGGCCCAAACUAAAGGUUAAAGUUACAAAUUUUAAGUUUGCCUUCCAUAAUGGGAAGUAUUUCUUUGCUCAACAUAACAAGCCUAGUAUUUCAAGUGGUACAAGCCUGUAUCUUAAAAGCAUAAUUAAAAUUUAAUUUAAGUACUGUUGUGAUUUCAUUUCAGCUGUAGAUUCAAGAAAUACAGUAGUGCAGCUUAUACUGUAAUAAGUGUUUUGGUUGCUAGAUCUGGAAGAAGAGCUCUUCUUCUGCCCUCUGUGGUGAAAANUGCUGGUUGUGCUCAGGGGAAAAGAACUAACUUUACCUAAGAAGUAUGUCUGAAGGUGAAAGAGGUAAUUAGUUUACCUCUUAAAUGCAUACUUUUAAAAAUGCCUAAGCAUCUUAGCUUGCCAGAAAUAUAAUUGUUCUGAAGUCCUUGUGGUUUNUGCUGCUGCAAAAUGGUUCUGCAUUCCUCUCUUUGUAAGAAGAAAAUGAGGCAAGAUUAAUGAUUUACAUAGCAUUUCAUUAGCUUUCUGGAGAAUAACUUAAAAACUGGCAUUUUCAACAAACAUUUCAGAACAAAAAACAUUCUUUAUAUCAGGGGUAUUUUUUCACAACAUAUUGUAAAUAUAUAUUCAGACUUUAAACAGGGAGUUAACAGAUUUUUCAAAGAUUUUUUUACACAAGGGAUUUCAGACUGAUUCUAAAUUGCAACUUUUAAUAGUUUUACAAAAAUAUAAAACUAUUUUAAAAAUAGUUGGGGUUUUUAAAAAGCUGUUUAAAAGCAAAGUAAUUGCAGUGAGUCAGGGAAUGACAAAAACACACAAAUGGAUCUCUACUAUGUUUCAUUGCUGGAUGUGGAACUACUGUUGCCUGUAACCCUUUGUUUUGGAUAGUAGAACAUGGUACUAUAUAGCAUUUUCAUGAUAAUAGUGCCUUUGAGAUCAACUGAUAAAACUAGAUGUGCAAAAUACAUCCUUUUUUCAUUUUUGGUAGUAGUGGCUCUACAGUACCAGUUACCUUGUAUCCCAUCAUUCUAAUUGAAUUCAACCUUUAUUAGUUGCAAGCAUGAAUUCAGUUUCACUAUUGCCUGUAAUGUUUCUUUGCUCUUGAACAAUUUCAGGAAGAAAGUAGAAUCGGGCAAUUGUAUCUUGAGUGUUAAUGUAGUGUAACAACAACAAUAACAUUUUAUUUUGGCCUGUAGAUAGUAUUAUUGCAAUAUUAGUGUCUGCCACCUCUCUUCCUCNUCACUCUCAGGAUGAGGCUUUAAAGUUUGAUGAGCAGGAGGCAAAUUGUACUGCAAGUUAAAUAUUCUUCAUUGAAAUCAAACCAUUCAGAGUUCGUAAAGUAAUAUAAAGUGGUAUAAUGCAUUAUAUACCCACUUCCCCAAUACAGGGAAUUGCUUAAGGUUGGCAGACACAAUUAUAGAAUAUUAGUGCAUUUAAUAUUAAAACAAACUUUUUCUACCAAAACAGGAGAAAAGGGAGUGGGGAAGAAACAUGUUUCUCCUAUAAAUUAUGCUUGGCAGGGUCUUUUACCCCAAGCUGUAAAUCCUAGAUUAGGGCCCUUUCCGCACUGGGCCUUAUUCUGGAUUAUAUCCUGGAAUUAGGGACCUGCCAUCUGCAUGCUGGUGCAAAUUACAGCAGGCCCCGGGCAGAGUUUACUGUAGUCAUACCAGCAUGUGGAUGGCAGGUCCCUAUUCCGGGAUGUAAUUCAGAAUAAGAUCUAGUGUAGAAAGGGCCUAAGAGUUUUAGGGUAAGCACCUUUCAGCUCUCACCAAGUAUUGAUCCUAGCAGAUCCAUGGUAUUGAUCCUAGCAGAUCUUGUGUAUCAAAAACAGGUACACAAAGGAGGGUAGAGACAAGGCAAUAAGGGAAACUCGGGCACCAGUAAUACCAAUCUCUAGCAAAAGCAUAAAUAAUGUGGCUUUAAUUACAAUUUAUGUCAAGGCUCUGCCCACGUUUACCAGCACAUGCUGCUGAAAAGCUUUAUGUAAGCCCCGUGGCUAAAACACUGGGGGCAAAUGGAGAAUUUUUCAAAGGAGGAUUUUUCAGCAGGAUUUUGGUAAAGCAUGCAAUUAUGUCAAAGCGUACAGUUGGGCAAAGUGCACCUGAUGAAAUGUGAACACUGAGCAGCCCUUAUGCAAACAUUUGUCUAAAUAGCACACAAUGAAAUGUCAAUCUCAAGUUCAGUUAUGGAGUAUUUUCCCCCCGUGAGGAUCAGGCCUAAUUAUUUUGAAUUGGAUCUACAAUUUCUGUGCAUGGAACUGUGCUGCUAGAGACUCCGAUUUGAAAAAGGCGGAGAUUCUUUUUGCAAUUCCUGGAGUUCCCUGUACCUUCUCAAAAAGAUAUUCCAUAGGAUUGGGUGGUCACAACAGAAGAGACUGUGGAAGUUCCCAAAGAAGAGAUUACGGGAAGAAGGAAAUAGAAACUUCAGCGGUGUUUGAUAUCCAUUGGGUCUAAUGGGGCAAAAAUGAAGUGAUACCAUGCAUCUCAAUACACAGAGCCAAUGAUAAAUGGGCACCCUAAGGCCACAGUUCUAUGUAAGCCUGCAGGAAAAUUUAAAAUACUGAACAUAGUGAACUGUACAUGCAUUAGCCUACCUUGAAAUGAAAUAUAUAUGAGUGACAGAGAGAGCAUAUUCAAGUUUUGAGCACUUGGAAGUGGUGGGGCACUACUCACUUUACCCAUUUGGAUCAGUUGCCCCUGGGAAAUUUAACCAUCUUCAUAACUAAGGAGGAAUAAAUGAAAAUCCCUUCAGCA
ensembl:lncRNA